rnacentral:rRNA from 1 species
GAUGAACGCUGGCGGCGUGCCUAAUACAUGCAAGUCGAGCGAACAGACGAGGAGCUUGCUCCUCUGACGUUAGCGGCGGACGGGUGAGUAACACGUGGAUAACCUACCUAUAAGACUGGGAUAACUUCGGGAAACCGGAGCUAAUACCGGAUAAUAUAUUGAACCGCAUGGUUCAAUAGUGAAAGACGGUUUUGCUGUCACUUAUAGAUGGAUCCGCGCCGCAUUAGCUAGUUGGUAAGGUAACGGCUUACCAAGGCAACGAUGCGUAGCCGACCUGAGAGGGGGACGGGCCAACCUGAACCUGGAACCGGUCCAGACUCCUACGGGAGGCAGCAGUAGGGAAUCUUCCGCAAUGGGCGAAAGCCUGACGGAGCAACGCCGCGUGAGUGAUGAAGGUCUUCGGAUCGUAAAACUCUGUUAUUAGGGAAGAACAAAUGUGUAAGUAACUAUGCACGUCUUGACGGUACCUAAUCAGAAAGCCACGGCUAACUACGUG